rnacentral:rRNA from 1 species
ACGGGACGCAGCAGUGGGAAGUAAUGGCACAAUGGGCGCAAGGCCUUGAAUGGCAGGCCAUGUCGCGUGUAUGGAAGGAAUGCUCCGGGUUGUAAAGUACUUUCAGUCAGUGAGGAAGGUGGUGUAGUUAAUAACUGCAUCAUUUGACGUUAGCUGCAGAAGAAGGCACCGGCUAACUCCGUGCCAGCAGCCGCGGUAAUACGGAGGGUGCGAGCGUUAAUCGGGAAUUACUGGGCGUAAAGCGCAUGCAGGUGGUUUGUUAAGUCAGAUGUGAAAGCCCGGGGCUCAACCUCGGAAUAGCAUUUGAAACUGGCAAACUAGAGUACUGUAGAGGGGGGUAGAAUUUCAGGUGUAGCGGUGAAAUGCGUAGAGAUCUGAAGGAAUACCAGUGGCGAAGGCGGCCCCCUGGACAGAUACUGACACUCAGAUGCGAAAGCGUGGGGAGCAAACAGGAUUAGAUACCCUGGUAGUCCACGCCGUAAACGAUGUCUACUUGGAGGUUGUGGCCUUGAGCCGUGGCUUUCGGAGCUAACGCGUUAAGUAGACCGCCUGGGGAGUACGGUCGCAAGAUUAAAACUCAAAUGAAUUGACGGGGGCCCGCACAAGCGGUGGAGCAUGUGGUUUAAUUCGAUGCAACGCGAAGAACCUUACCUACUCUUGACAUCUACAGAAGCUUGCGGAGACGCGAGUGUGCCUUCGGGAACUGUAAGACAGGUGCUGCAUGGCUGUCGUCAGCUCGUGUUGUGAAAUGUUGGGUUAAGUCCCGCAACGAGCGCAACCCUUAUCCUUGUUUGCCAGCGAGUCAUGUCGGGAACUCCAGGGAGACUGCCGGUGAUAAACCGGAGGAAGGUGGGGACGACGUCAAGUCAUCAUGGCCCUUACGAGUAGGGCUACACACGUGCUACAAUGGCGCAUACAGAGGGCAGCCAACUUGCGAAAGUGAGCGAAUCCCAAAAAGUGCGUCGUAGUCCGGAUUGGAGUCUGCAACUCGACUCCAUGAAGUCGGAAUCGCUAGUAAUCGUGAAUCAGAAUGUCACGGUGUAAUACGUUCCCGGGCCUCGUACACAGUGGUAACAACGUAACCUACUAGAGUUUGAUCCUGGCUCAGGAUAAGUCGUAACAAGUAACCUGCUAGAGUGUG